UUUUUAUUUUUGAUUUAAAAGUUUAAAAUUAAAAACAAAGUUAUUUUAAUGCAAUAUACUCUCAUUAUGGUUUCAUCUCUCACAUCUCCCCCUGGAUCCUCCCACAUAAGCAAAAACCUUUCUUACCGCAUGGUAUUUAUGUGAAAUGUGAUGGAUUUCAUAAGCUAAGUAUGAUGCAGCUGCAAUGAAGACAUCCUUUGUGCAAAUAUCCCUCCGGGGAUUGUGAUUUCAUUUUGCAGGACUCAGGAAGACCUGGAAUAAAAGCAUGCUGAUGCCAGGCUGUUUGUGCCAUGAGUAUCAAGGCCAUUGAUCAUUGCCCUGUCUGGCCAGGAACUCACUAUGUAGACCAAGAUGGCUUUAACGAGAGUUAGACUGACUGGACUUCAAAGACACAGUCUACAGCAAUGAGGAUAUUCCAGAUGCUCACUUGUGAUGCUCACUUUGGC
rnacentral:lncRNA from 1 species